UCCCGGUCGAUCGCAGGAAUCGGAAAAGAAGAGCAUGAGUUUAGGGCGAGUUCCAUGCCUCUCAGGGGGAGCUCCAUUUCUUGGAAUCUUUCCGCCAAAUGCAUGUAAUUAGGUCGAAGGAACCGGAUGUCUGGUCUCUCCCACAACAUUCCUUCCUGUUCAACACGGAGUAGCCCAUUUUAGCCGUACCGAACCAAAAGUCUGUCUCCUGUUCUGGAAGAGAAUUUGGCCUUGGCAAUCAAAUCCGAUGCAGCUGCGCUAUCUCCUGAAGAGAAGGCAUCCAAGUAGAAAUCCAGCCUCUCCGUAGCAUUCUCAACAUACAUCCCGCAGUUCUUCCGAACCUGUGACCACAAAAGUGGUAUUAGCGAUCCUGUCGUAACUGGCAAAAAGCCAGAAAUUCUCGAACAAACAAAACAAUGCAUCACAAUCUAAGCAUAUCGUUUAUCGCAUCAGGACAGACUCCCCUGGAUUUCAUGCGACAGGGGACCACGUAAGCAAAAAGAACCGAUACAUUUUAUGAGGUUCGGAACAACUCAUCAACUAUCGCUUUUGUUCCGAAGAAUGUUCCCAAUAAUGUGGAGAGAUGUUUAUAGGCAGAAUUAUAUUGUUCUUUUAUCCAAAUCUUUCGACAUGAAUCAUUCUUGUCGAGCAUUAUCUUAAUGCAAAUUGCCCAAA